rnacentral:tRNA from 1 species
GGUUAUAGCUCAGGGGUAGAGCCCUUGCCUCAUACAUGUGAGGCACUGGGUUCGAUCCCCAGCACCA